CGUGAGCGGCGGACGGGUGAGUAACGCGUGGGUAACCUGCCUCAUACAGGGGGAUAACAGUUGGAAACGGCUGCUAAUACCGCAUAAGCGCACAGUACCGCAUGGUACGGUGUGAAAAACUCCGGUGGUAUGAGAUGGACCCGCGUCUGAUUAGGUAGUUGGUGGGGUAACGGCCUACCAAGCCGACGAUCAGUAGCCGACCUGAGAGGGUGACCGGCCACAUUGGGACUGAGACACGGACCAA
rnacentral:rRNA from 1 species